rnacentral:rRNA from 1 species
GUUGAACGCUGGCGGCGUGCCUAACACAUGCAAGUCGAACGGAAAGGCGGAGCUCUUUCUGGUUGCGCGUGUGGCGCGGGUGAGUGAUACACCGGAGUGUACCCUGCUGUGCGGGCUGAGAAGUCGAAGGAACAGCUGAUACCACAUCCGAUCAGAGCGUGAAACUCGGGGUUCGGUAGCGACAUCCUGCUGUUGGAGCGGUCGUUGAUUGAUUAGCUAGUUGGUGGGGUAUAGGUCCAUCAAGGGGACGAUAAGUCGCUGGUCUGAGAGGACGAUCGGCCACACUGGAACUGAGACACGGCCCAGACUCCUACGGGAGGCAGCAGUGGGGAAUGUUGGAGAAUGGGGGCAAGCCUGACCCAGCAAUGCCGCGUGUGUGAAGAAGGCCUUCGGGUCGUAAAGCACUUUUGUCAGGAAAGAAAACGCGCUGAUUAAAACGUGGCGUGGAUGACGGUACCGGAUGAAGAAGCACCGGCUAACUACGUG